AAACUCACCGCCCCGAACGCUCGCUUCGCUUUUGGUCUGAAAGCACCAUUAGUCUUUGUAGUUGUAAUACAGCGAAUAUUUGGACCGAUUUGGACUAGCGACAAACAACUACAACACCACGGGAGGAAAAAAACAAAACACAACAAACAAUUCUUGAGCGCUGCGGGGGUAUUUCAAUGAGCAUUAGAGGUUGCGUUACAUGGACGUUGAAAAAACAAAAAUAACCCGUUUAAAAUGAUCUAAGACCUAGAACAGAAACUUCAGCGAAUUUAGGACUUUAAGGCCAUAAAUUUUGAUUUUGAAAGACCCCGCCGAAACCCAGGAGGAUGUCUACCUGACAGGUGCUGUUAUCAGAGCAGCUCCUUUAAUCUGGAGGUCUCAGUGUUUGAUUGUCCGAGUGACAGGAAGUUACUGAAUCUCAGAGGAGGAAAAUAUUCUGGCAGUAAAAGUACGGUGUUGGUGUGUCAGGUAAUAAAUGCUUCAGCUUCACAAAACAAAAGUCUUUUCCCAAACGGCUGGAAGAGUGAAGCAGGAAAACAAACAUCUCCCCUUCAGACUGGAAGCUGAGCAGGAAGCUAACAGAACAUUUUUUUGUUCAAUUUAUAGAAAGUAACGAGCAGCUGUAUUUUAUUCCAGCCUACUCCAGGUGUUCAGCUCUGUCUUGAACAUAGACUGAACAUCCAUUAUGGUAAUAUUUGGGUCACAUAGCGACAAUCACAAGGUAGCCCCGCCCUAAAGCCUCCCCUGCUUUCUGGUCUUUUUUCCUCUAAAUGAACAUCACGCUGUGUUGAAGAGACCAUAUACGAUCCAGUGGAGACUCUCCCUGCUGGCUGUUACAGAGAAUGCAGGUUUGAGGCUUCACUUUACAAACCUGGCGUUUCCUUCUUGGUGAAGACACAAAGCUGCUUCCUGGUUUCACAAAUCAGACACAUUAAAUAUCUAAUUUCCGUUGUGGUUUUGAAACGGACCAAUCAAAGAACGAGAUGCAAAUUCAGGUUGUCCUCACACAGAGGAGCAGGUGGAGGUGGGGCUAUGUACUAAGGCGCUGCAGGAGGCCAGAGCCUUACGGCGGGACUUAGGAGGCUUGGACUGGGAAUCCUUGUACCGCCAGGGCGAACAGGUCGCUGAACCUGCAGGAGGAGGAAGGGAUAUCAUCACCUGCUGCACACACAUGUUGCCCGACAUUGCACAAUGUUGACUGAAAAACUGUUAAUUAAUAACUCAUUUACAAAGUUCAAGAGAACCCAGCUUUUUGCCUCAUUCCUUAACGUUAGCAACCGUUAGCUAGCGUAAGCUAACGUACCUUAUCAGCAGUGGCUGAAACCUUUCCAGACAGUCGUCAACACUUAUGAUUUUUCAUCUGGGGCUGCUCCUUGUUACAUGCGCUCUGGUCUGGACUGUAGAGAGUGCUGCUGAAGGAAUUUCAUCAUGUCCAUAAUCACCUGACUUGCGAAAGCAGCUCUGAUAUUUAAUCAAACACAGUAUUGAGUGGCACUACAGCUAUCCAAGGUGUUUCCUGAGUUUGUUUUACAAAGGUUGAACCUAUGCAACCAAUUCUACUGCGAGCUUGAGAGCUACAUACCACAACUGAUUGCCCUGUACAGGCAGAAGGCCAAGAGAGCAGAGGCCCUGCAGAGAUCCUCAGGAUUUAUGACCUUCAGGAACAACACGAGGUACACAUGAGAUGCUAUCCGGCCCUCCGUGACCUCCCAGUGAACCUGCCAGCGGAUGACGGAUGUCUUCAAAACCUGCAAUGUUCAGCGACCUGUUCGCCCUGGCGGAGGAGUACGAGGAUUCCCAGACUAAGCCUCCCAAGUCCAUACGCACCUGAACACACAGUAUAAGAAAAAACUUCAACCUAUCUACAAUGCAUAAUAUAAGCAUAUAGAAGAUAUCUUUUGAGUCGCAUCUUGGUGCUGGAUAACAGGUGCUCUAUUGGAUUGAGAUCUGGUGACUGUG